UUUGGUUGUCAAGGGAAACAAACUGGACGUUGCAGUCGCAUAUCAACCGUUUUCAGGUAGCUAUUGGACUAGAGAUGUAGGCUAACUCGGGCUUGAUUUAAAAAAAUAAAAAAAAACGUUCAAUUAACUUGCCGAAAUGUUUGCCUGUAAUACUGUCACUUCAAGGACCUCUUCAACGCGUUUACUAAUCGAUAUCCGACUUCUGAAGUGCUGCCGUAACUUUACCGUUAGCAAGUUUGCUAACGUGUGAAACGUAGCCUACCCAGCAAGCAGUAACGUCCUCAAGUUUCCUGCUGGAGUUGGGGCUGUCAAACCAUUCAAGUGGCCCAUGAUGACUGACUGAAAGGACAUUAUGUGAAUUCACUACAAGUCAAAAUCAGAUAAACAGACAGGAACAUCAGCCUUCUUGGUGCCAGAUGGAAAUACUUGAGAAUAGCAAGAAAAACGGUUCAAGUAGGCCCGACAACAGAGAUCACAGACAACCACAAGAAGUGACCCCAGGAGGGGGGCAGACCAUAUGUUGGCAGUUUUUGGAAGGCAGGUCCUAGCCACGCACUCAUAUACCGGAA